GGCCUGGUGGCUCAGUGGUAAAGAACCUGCCUGCAAUGCAGGAGACCUGGGUUCCAUCCCUGGGUCA
rnacentral:tRNA from 1 species